rnacentral:lncRNA from 1 species
CAAACAAUAGUAUCGUAUUUGGAGAGGCUACCGUAGAGAGCGCUAACAACAUAAAAGCUGUUGUGAUGGAUUAUGAUGGAUGUCGAGCCAAUUAGUGAAUUUUGACAAAUUUAUUUAUUUCAACAAUGUACUCAAUGAAGCAAAGGAACAAAUUGGAAAUGUUUUAGGAAUGCAGAUUUCAAUCAACCCAGAGAAUUACCUUGGGCUGCCAAAGAUGGUUGGGCGACAAAAACGAAGAGGUUUUUGCAAAUUUUAGAGACAGGUUCAUUUACAAUAUUGAGAAUUGGAACGCUCGACAAUUAUCAUUGGGAGGAAAUGAGGUCUUCAUUAAAUCAAUAUUACAAGCUAUACCCAUUUAUGCUAUGUAAUGCUUCCUUUUACCUAUUACAUUAUGUCGUGAUCUUGAAAGUAUAAUAAGUAGAUAUUGGUAGCGUAAUUAUAAAUCGAAAAAAGGUAUACAAUGGUGUCAAUGGAGGUUGUUGUGCGAGGCCAAACCGCAUGGAGAAUUAGGAUUCAGGGAUUUAGCAAAAUUUAAUGUAGCCCUUCUAACGAAACAGGGUUGGCGAUUGUUAUCAAAUCCAAAUUGCUUAUUUGCGCGAGUUAUGGAAGCCAAAUACCAUCCAAAUGGCGAUUUACGAGCUCAAGAUUAAGUUCUUACCCUUCCUAUACCUGGCGUAAUAUAUGGAGUGCUGGUGGAUUAUUGGAACAAGGAAUCGGUUGGAGAGUGGGCAGUGGGCAGUGGAACGGCGAUUAAUAUUUGGAACGUUUCUUGGCUUUCGAGACCUGGACGAGGAAGAGUGUCGGUUCAGAAUAUUGAUAUAAACUACACAAUCGUUGCCGAUCUAAUAAAUCAAGAUACUGCUACCUGGAAAACAAAAGACUUAAGAACAUUAUUUGACUAAGAACAAGCAAGGCGAAUCGUGACUAUUCCGCUGCCUAGCAUUGACCAAACAAAUGAAAUUGUAUGGCGAGAAGAUAACACAGGAGUCUAUUCGGUUAAAAGUAGUUACAAGAGGCUCCUAACAGGUGAAUCAGACAUUUUGGGUGAGGAAUCAAUGAGUUCAGAUCAGACAUUACAUACCUUUUACAAAAGAUUAUAGGCUCUAAACAUUGCAAGUAAAAUAAAGAUUACAGGCUGGAAAAUUGUUUCGGUGAGUAAUUGUCCUGUUUGUCGGGCUGCGUGGAGUAGUGGCCCAUGUGUUCUAUGACUGUCCAUUCAGUCGACAAGUCCUGUAGGGGGUGGAAAUAGAUUUCUCCCCAAAUAACGAAGAGCAUAGUUGGAAAAUAUGGUUAGCAAUCGAAUUUGUUAAUAACAAUCCAAUAAAAAACAGAUGGAUGGCUAUUACUUUUGGGGCCAUUUGGUACAACAGAAACAAAAGCUAUCAGGACGGAGCAGGUUAAAAUAUCUAUGGACUAAUAACGUUGUUCAAGGCAUAUUAAAAAAGCUAAGCCAACAGUGGAAGACAAAUCUUAUAUAUGCGGCUCAAUCAAAGAAAUAAAGGUGAGAGCCCGACGAUUUCAAUAUAGUAGUUUCGGAUUCAUGCCUGGAACCGCAAAUAGCGCAAACCAUGUUCUAGCAGAGGAAGGGAGGCGCUAUGUCUCCUUUGUGUACGGGAUAGAAGAGCCGGUGAGGGUGGAUGAAGAGGCAUGCCAAGAUUGAAGCGGGUUGCAGAGAAAGGAAUAAAGGGUGGAUUUUUUAGCCGGAGGAUAAGCCAUUUAGGGACUCCGGCGACCACAGUAUUAAAUGGGCAGUCUCGCACCUACACAGACCAUAUACCUAUCACCGGAUGAUGGAGGAAAGGAACCAGUUUUGCUGCAGUUUUACUUUUCGUUUUGCUUAGAAGGAUAAGGCACCGUUUAAGGAGCCAAUAGGGGUGCAGCAGCCGAAUAGUAUUGCACUUAUGAUUUCCCUUAGAUUAAUUAAGGGUGAGUUUGGAUAGGCGGUGUAUUUACUUACGAUUAAUAUAAAAAUAAUAGUAGCGGUGAGAUUAAAUAUUGUAACGAUAUUAUAGCGUGAGACAAAAAAAUAAACUAAACUCACUGCACCACCUAAUUGUUUAUUAAAUACAUUCUAAAUUUAGUAUUGUGUAUAAAUAAAUAAUAUCAUUUUUUAUUGUGUUUUUUUUUCAUUAAAUAAGGUCAUCAGUAUUCUGUUA